rnacentral:guide_RNA from 1 species
AAACAAACUAUACAAUCGAUAAGCUAACA